rnacentral:lncRNA from 1 species
ACUUAUCUGAUCAUUUGGUAGAUUAUGUAUUGAGUCUGGUUGAUUAGUGAUUCGUGUUCACCCAUGCCAGCUAGGUGGGUCAGAUAUGAGAUGGACUGAUCUGAACCAGUUUAGUCAUUAUAUUUAAUGUAUGUGACUAAGUAGAUGAGAUCUAAAUUAAAUCUUCUCAAUUAAAUAUUAAGUCUAGCGAUCUUCCACCAUUGUAGAGAUGCGGAUGCCUUUUUUGGCAUUGAUCGUUCUCAACUGGUUACAGUGGUUCGGUUACAUCGGAGAGGCACAACCACUCUAUUGGCAUCUGAUGCCCCAGGGUGAAGAUGAGGUUAGGUCCAAUCACUAUUACGUAAGGGACCAAAUGAUGGCUCUACGUCCGUUGGUGAAUGAUGAGUCUGACUUAACUAAGAAAUGUGUUAAUAACUGUUAGAUGAGGUCACAGGACUUAGAGAUCGAAUCCAUUGCAUCUUACUUGGUGAAGUAAUGAACACGGUGUUGUCCACUCAUUGGUUCAUAUAUCACCAAUAACUAUCAGGUGAUGUGCACA